UCCCUGGUGGUCUAGUGGCUAAGACUCUGCCUUCCCAAUGCAGGGGGCCCAGGUUCAAUCCUUAAUCAGGGAG
rnacentral:tRNA from 1 species